rnacentral:rRNA from 1 species
CCUAACGGCUGAACCCAGCAACUUGGAGGAAUGUAUAGCAAUAGCUGAUUGCACCAACAAAUAGUUGAUGCAAUAUUGACUCUGUCAAAUAAAAUUCUAGGUAGAAUUAUGAUAAUGACAUUGUCUGCCUAUAUGUCUUGACCAAAUUACGUGCCAGCAGUCGCGGUAAUACGUAGAAGACUAGUGUUAUUCAUCUUUAAUAGGUUUAAAGGGUACCUAGACGGUAAAUCAAGCCUUCACAGGGACUAAUUUACUAGAGUUACUUACGAGGGGGUAUUAAAGUACUGCAGGUGUAGAGAUGAAAUUCUGUCAUACCUCUUUUCAAAAGAAAAAUUAUGGCACAGGUAUAGGUGAAAGCAUCCCCUUAUGUGAUAACUGACGUUGAAGGACGAAGGCUUUGUGUCGCGAACAGGAUUAGAUACCCCAGUAGUCAAAGCAGAAAAUGAUGAAUGUCAUAGAUUAGAUAAAUAGUUUAUUCUAUAAAUGAAAAUGUAAGCAUUCCACCUCAAGAGUAAUUUGGCAACAUUGGAACUGAAAUCAUUAGACCGUUUCUGAAACCAGUAGUGAAGUAUGUUGUUUAAUUUGAUGAUCCGCAAAAAACCUUACCACAAUUUGAAUAUUUAUAUCCAUCUUUUUUUUUCGUAAAAAAAUAAAAAGGUAAUAUAUUUACAAGCGUUGCACGGCUGUCUUCAGUUAAUGUCGCGAGACUUUGGUUAGUUCCAUUAAAUUAACGUAAACCCUUACUUUAUUUUUAUAUGAAGUAGUUCCCCGCUAUAUUGGAUAUGAUAACAGGGACUAAGACAAGUCAUCAUGGCCUGAAUA